ACACUCCUACGGGAGGCAGCAGUGGGGAAUUUUGGACAAUGGGCGAAAGCCUGAUCCAGCAAUGCCGCGUGAGUGAAGAAGGCCUUCGGGUUGUAAAGCUCUUUUGUCAGGGAAGAAACGGUGAGAGCUAAUAUCUCUUGCUAAUGACGGUACCUGAAGAAUAAGCACCGGCUAACUACGUGCCAGCAGCCGCGGUAAUACGUAGGGUGCAAGCGUUAAUCGGAAUUACUGGGCGUAAAGCGUGCGCAGGCGGUUUUGUAAGUCUGAUGUGAAAUCCCCGGGCUCAACCUGGGAAUUGCAUUGGAGACUGCAAGGCUAGAAUCUGGCAGAGGGGGGUAGAAUUCCACGUGUAGCAGUGAAAUGCGUAGAUAUGUGGAGGAACACCGAUGGCGAAGGCAGCCCCCUGGGUCAAGAUUGACGCUCAUGCACGAAAGCGUGGGGAGCAAACAGGAUUAGAUACCCGAGUAGUCCC
rnacentral:rRNA from 1 species